GGACAAGGGGAAUCCGAC
rnacentral:snRNA from 1 species